CAGAGUAGAAGCGUUCAGCGUCAGCCAUGCGCCGGCGCCCGGAAAUUGCUCG
rnacentral:ncRNA from 1 species